rnacentral:lncRNA from 1 species
AUGUCAAUCAAACGCUGUGAUCUUCCCUCUAUAUGUAGCAUUCCUGUGAAAGAUCAAGUUACAUACUUAGGAAUUUUAAUUAAUAAAGACCAAAAAGCAAGAUGUAAUCUAAAUUUCGACCCUCUAAUAGUGAAAACCCAAAGAAAAGUUAACUCGUGGCUGCAGAGAGAUUUAUCAAUAAGAGGAAGAAUUUUACUCUCUAAAGCCGAAGGAUUGUCUCGACUGACUUAUGCUGCUCUUUCCUUGGAGGUUGAUAAAGGAACAUUAAAAAGAAAUGACAGCAUGUUAAACAAUUUUGUUUGGAAAAACAAAAUUCACUAUAUUAGGAAAUCUGUAAUAACGAACCCAACAAAACAGGGGGGACUGGAUUUUGUAGAUUUUACUACCUUAAAUAAUACUUUUAAAAUUAAUUGGCUUAAGAAUUUCCUUAAAAAUCCCUCCUCACUUUGGAAUUUUAUCCCAAAUUAUAUUUUCUCUAAAGUUGGUGGCCUGAAUUUCUUAUUAUUUUGUAAUUAUAAUGUUUUAAAAAUCCCAAUCAAACUUUCUAAUUUCCAUAAGCAGAUGCUCUUGGCCUGGUCCUUAAUUUACAAACACAACUUUUCUCCGCACAGAUAUUAUUUAUGGAACAAUAAGGAUAUUCUUUACAAGAAUAAAUCUCUUUUCUUUGACAACUGGUUCGAAAACAAUCUUCUUUUAGUUGGACAGCUUUUUAAUUCACAAGGCAGACUUUACAACUACUCUGAUUUCUUACAGAAAUAUAAUAAUCCUGUAUCUGCUGAUGCAUAUGCUAUUGUUUUCAAUGCCUUUCCCUCUGGUGUGUCUUUUCUGUUGCAAGGUACUACACUUCCAUGGCCAUGCACUUACACUCUGAAUUUAUCUGACACAAUGAUCGGAAGUGUUUGCUUUUCUACAGAUCAACAAAAAAAUAACUAUAAAAUUAGAGCUCUUUUUCAGGGAGAGAUAACAACUAUUCCUUACAUAAUACCUUAUUGGAAUAGCAUUGUGGAGAAUAUACCUUGGGAGAAAGUAUGGACCUUGCCUCAUAGAUAUCUGCUUACCAAUAAAGUAAAAGAAAUAACAUUUAAGUUGAUUCACAAAUGUUACCCAACUAAAGUCUUUCUUAGGAAAUAUAAGUCAGACAUUGAAGUGAGUUGCUGUUUUUGUCAUUCUUCUGAAGAAGACUUCAUUCAUUUGUUUUGGCAAUGCUCCUACACAGAAACAUUUUGGUCAGACUUUUUAGUGUUUAUUCAAUCUUUUGUAAGUGACUUCUCUUUUUGUUUUAAUGAUGCUUUCUUUGGUUUGUUUGACAAUUCAAAAGAGAACACUGGGAAAUAUUAA